rnacentral:rRNA from 1 species
AGCAGCCGCGGUAAUUCCAGCUCCAAUAGCGUAUAUUAAAGUUGUUGCAGUUAAAAAGCUCGUAGUUGAACUUCGGGGUUUACCCAUUGGUCAGGCUUAAUUGUCUGUACUGGUGAGAUAAAUCUCUACCUUCUGAGGAACUUUCAUGCCAUUUAUUUGGUGUGAUGGGAAAUCAGGACUGUUACUUUGAAAAAAUUAGAGUGUUUAAAGCAGGCUAACGUCUGAAUACAUUAGCAUGGAAUAAUGAAAUAGGACGGACUGAUUCUAUUUCGUUGGUUUCUAGGAUCACCGUAAUGAUUAAUAGGGAUAGUUGGGGGCAUUAGUAUUCAAUUGUCAGAGGUGAAAUUCUUGGAUUUAUUGAAGACUAACUACUGCGAAAGCAUUUGCCAAGGAUGUUUUCAUUAAUCAAGAACGAAAGUUAGGGGAUCGAAGACGAUCAGAUACCGUCGU